CGCGGCCUAUCAGCUUGUUGGUGAGGUAAUGGCUCACCAAGGCGACGACGGGUAGCCGGCCUGAGAGGGCGACCGGCCACACUGGGACUGAGACACGGCCCAGACUCCUACGGGAGGCAGCAGUGGGGAAUAUUGCACAAUGGGCGAAAGCCUGAUGCAGCGACGCCGCGUGAGGGAUGACGGCCUUCGGGUUGUAAACCUCUUUCAGCAGGGAAGAAGCGAAAGUGACGGUACCUGCAGAAGAAGCGCCGGCUAACUACGUGCCAGCAGCCGCGGUAAUACGUAGGGCGCAAGCGUUGUCCGGAAUUAUUGGGCGUAAAGAGCUCGUAGGCGGCUUGUCACGUCGGGUGUGAAAGCCCGGGGCUUAACCCCGGGUCUGCAUUCGAUACGGGCUAGCUAGAGUGUGGUAGGGGAGAUCGGAAUUCCUGGUGUAGCGGUGAAAUGCGCAGAUAUCAGGAGGAACACCGGUGGCGAAGGCGGAUCUCUGGGCCAUUACUGACGCUGAGGAGCGAAAGCGUGGGGAGCGAACAGGAUUAGAUACCCUGGUAGUCCACGCCGUAAACGGUGGGAACUAGGUGUUGGCGACAUUCCACGUCGUCGGUGCCGCAGCUAACGCAUUAAGUUCCCCGCCUGGGGAGUACGG
rnacentral:rRNA from 1 species